GGGCGGGCUCCGAAAGGAGAGCGUGGUGUCUGGAGGUGAUCGGAAGGGACUGGCUGGAGUGUGGCGGGCUGACAGGUCUGAGGCCUGAAGGACUUCCGGGAACCGCAAAGCACGGUGUGCCUCCGCUGUCCUGAAGAAAAAGCCGCGCGCGGACGACUGGCCGGCCCGCGCUUGCAGCUCCCAGAAGUUGACAGGCAUCCUCCGGUGACCGGUGUGAGUAUGGCAUCAGGAUGAUUUGACUGCAAGCAACAGAAAAAUCAAACAAAAAUGGCCUAAGCCAAGAAGAGAAAUGAUUAUUUCACAUUCCAAGAAGUUUGGGAGUCGAGUGGUUAAACGGCUAAUUAAUCUAGAGCUCAACAGUAUCACCCAGGACCCAUUUUCACUAUGGUGGCUAAAGCUCUGCACCCUUCAGGCUUGCACCAUGGCAGCAGCAGUGACAGUAAAGACACCCUUACACCACAAUGCUCCAUGACCAGGGAGAGGGUCUCCUCUCUCCUGCCCCUUUCUGGAGGCUCCACCGAAGAUUUCUCUUCACAUUCCGUUUCUCAUUCCUGAAGCAGUUGCUGGCAACAGGGAUGGACUUACCGCAAUGGGUACAGAGCAACUAAGAUUCACCACUAGGUGAGUCCUUUGGAAAACACUUGGCCAUCCAAUAUAUAAACAAAUCUGGUACUCCUGUCAGGAAAGAGGUAGGUAAUUCCCAACAGCCAAUAGUGUCUGCCACAAGUGAAAUAUCUCAUCAGAGAAAACUGAGUAGGUAAUACAUGAUUCUGUGUUUUCUCUGUUUUCUGCCUUUGCUUUUUCCAUUUGGUAAGACUCACCUGUGUUCCUCUUUGUGGCUCUUUCUCCUUGAUAAUACAACCCUGGUUUAGUUCAGAUACAGGUGGCAAUAGGCCAGAAUUUGUCCUAGGAGACAAAUUCGUGAUGAGCCUCGCAAAGUCAUGACAAUCCCAAUUCCAUUUGCCAGUGAACCAUUUAGGGAUGGCCACGUGACUCAGUUCUGGUCACCAAGGUGGUGGAAGAGAAGUUCUCUUGAGGGGCAUCUGGGAAAGAUUCUUCUGCCUGAUAAAACAGGAGGCAGCACUUUAUGGCUUCUCUUGGGCAUAUCCAAAUUGCUACCAUCACUACUCGUAUUAGUCCAUUUUCACGCUGCUGAUAAAGACAUACCUGAGACUGAGAAAUUUACCAAAUAAAGAGGUGUACUGGACUUACAGUUCCACAUGGCUGGGGAGGCCUCACAAUCAUGGUGGAAGGCAAGAAGGAGCAAGUCAUGUCUUACAUGGAUGGCAGCUGGCAAAGAGAAAGCUUGUACAGGGAGACUCCCGUUUUGAAAACCAUCAGAUCUUGUGAGACUCAUUCACUAUUACAAGAACAGUGCAGGAAAGAUGCACCCCUGUACUUCAAUCACCUCCCAGCAGGUUCCUCCCACGACAUGUGGGAAUUGUGGGAGUUACAAUUCAAGAUGAGAUUUGGUUGGGGACACAGCCAAACCAUAUCACUACUCUUGUGCUUUGGGGCCAUUAUGAAGUAAAACAAGCAUUAUUUGAACACAAGAACUGCAAUACCACCACAGUAGAUCUGAUAACUGUUGGCUACUAAGUGACUAAGGGGCAGGUGAAGUAUACAGCUUGGAUGCGAUGGACAAAGAGGAAGAUCUACCUCCCAGCUGGGAUGGAGCAGGACGAUGCAAGAUUUCAUCACACUACUCAGAAAGGCAUGCAGUUUAAAGCUCGUAAAUUAUUUCAGGAAUUUUCCAUUUAAUAUUUUCAGGCUGUGGCUGACCGUGAGUAACAAACCCAGGAAAGCGAAACUGCAGAACAGUGGAUGGGAGAAAGGGUGAAUUACUGUAUAUUCAUGAGGGAUAUUAGUCCAUAGUUUCUUUUUUCCCUUUUAACAAAUUUUUGGGUUUUGUAUAUAGUUUGUCUGGUUUUGGUAUCAGGGUAAUACUAGCUUCAUAAAAUGAAUUGGAAAGCGUUUCUUCUGUUUUCCUAAAAAGAUUAUAUGGAAUUAGCAUUCAUUCUUUAAACACUUGGUAGAAAUCUUAAGUAAAACCAUCUGAGCUCGGAGAUUUUUUUGUGUGUGUUAUAAAAUUACAUAUUCAGUUUCCUUAAUAUUUAUAAGAUCAUUUUAAUUAUCUGUGUUUUUCAGUGAAACGGGUCAAUUUUCUGUAUGUUGUCAAAUUAAUAUUUGUAGAAUUGUAUUAGUAUUCUUCAUUAUCCUUUUGAUGUCUGCAGAAUCUGUAAUGGUAUCCCUGUUUUAUUUCUGAUAUUAAUUUGUGCCAUUAUGUCUUUUUUUCUUUGUUGAUCUUGUCAGAAGUUUGUCAAUUUUAUCAAUUUGUUCCAAGAACCAGCUCAUUGAUUUGGUUUCAGUUUCAUUGAUUUCUACUUUUAUCUUUAUUAUUUCCUUCUUUUUCUUGCUUUUGGUAUAUUUUGUGCUUCUUUUUCUAGGUUCUAGAGGUGGAAGCAUACGUUAUUGAUUUGAGACCUUUCCUCUUUUCUAAUGUGAGCAUUUUAGUUACAUUUAGUUCCCUCCUAGGACUACUUUAAUUGGAUUAUUGAGAGGUGUUGAAGUCUCCAACUGUAUUUGUGGAUUUAUUUAUUUUUCCUUUCAGUUCUAUUAGUUUUAGCUUCACAUUAUUUUGCAGCUCUGAUGUUUAAAGGUGCAUGAACAUUUAGGCUCACUAUGUCUCAGUGAAUUGACCCUUUUAUCAUUACGUAAUAUUCCUCUCAGUCUCUGGUCAUUUUCUUUGUGCUGAAAUAUACUUUAUCUGAUAAUAUAAUGACUGUUCCCUGUAGAUUAAUAUUUUCAGGAUGUAUCAUUUUUAUUUUUUUAUUUUCAACCUGCCUGUAAUCAUUAUAUUUGCAGUGAAUUUUUUCUAGACAC
rnacentral:lncRNA from 1 species